rnacentral:rRNA from 1 species
UACAGAGGUCUCAAGCGUUGUCCGGAAUUAUUGGGCGUAAAGAGCUCGUAGGCGGUGUGUCGCGUCGGCCGUGAAAACCUGCAGCUUAACUGUGGGCUUGCGGUCGAUACGGGCAUCACUGGAGUUCGGCAGGGGAGACUGGAAUUCCUGGUGUAGCGGUGAAAUGCGCAGAUAUCAGGAGGAACACCGGUGGCGAAGGCGGGUCUCUGGGCCGAUACUGACGCUGAGGAGCGAAAGCGUGGGGAGCGAACAGG